AGGACAUUUUUGAGAGUGCCAUGUGCCAGCACACAAUCCCAAAAUUAUUUAAUUUUAAGUAGUACUUGUUUUGCCUUAUAAGUAGUAGUAUUCCACUUGACAGCACCUUCAUACUUUAUGGAAAUAUGUGCCAACUAGUUGCAAAACGGAAGCAGGUGAUUUUUCAUUGUUAGUGAAGAAACAUCUGUUGCCAUUUCUGUGUUUGAGAUACUAAUAUAAUUGUCAGAUAAAGUGAGUAUCGUAGCGUUUGUUUCUUAAAGUAUUUCUGUAAAACAGUUAACUGAUGAAAAAUGAUGACCUGCAAAUUAGGACUGUACAAAUUGAUUCCAGUCAUGACUUCUGAAGAUAUCUUAGCAGGUGAUUCAGUGCAGAGGUUGAUAAGAGAAUUAGGACAGUUGAGGAACAGGUUCCAGCUUUACCCAAAAUCCUUGCUCUGACCCUGUUCCAAGAGAGAGUCAAACCGCAAAAAAAGAAGGCUUAAGAGAAGAUGAGAGACAAAAGGAAAUGUCUCAGGGCGACUCAUAUUAUGAAAAGGGUGACUCAGACACCAUUUGUUAGUGGUCACAGAGACACGUGCCCCCCACAUAAACCAGAUCACUCUUCAGAAUGAGAUGUCUUUUAUACAUGAGCACAGACUCUGAUUCCUGUUCGGUGAAUCAUUUCCAGUCAGGAAUAGCUCCGCUUAAAGGAAUGACGGUUGUGAAAUGAAGUGUUUACUGCAAACGUCUCACAUGGGUGACUAACAAAGCAGCAUCCAAGUUGUUUUCGCAGUGAGUCCUGGCUGACAGUGUCAGUGCUCUCAGGCUAACAUCUCUAGCAUGUUGGAAUCUGAACAUUCUCUUCAUUAGGUACCUCACCAAUCCUGCCAUAUUUUACCAGUUCAUCUAAAAGAAAGGAUUCAGAGGAGUGUCACAAGGAAACCGAAGACAGCAGAUGUGCGAUCAAGCUCUCAAGGGAAGCGCUUGGUAGACUUAUUAAGCGUAACCAUAUUCAUCUCUUAAAAAGCACUCAUGAUACCACCUUGGAGUUUGGAGGAAGGCAAGUGCAGCGAUGGACUGCAGACUUGGAUUUUGCUGUAUGCUUCCUCAGCUUGAGCUGUCCAGGCACCUCCCAACCAUGCUGUCCAUAUGCUCU